UACGGAGGAUGCGAGCGUUAUCCGGAUUUAUUGGGUUUAAAGGGUGCGUAGGCGGGUUAUCAAGUCAGCGGUAAAAUCGUGGAGCUCAACUCCAUCCAGCCGUUGAAACUGAUGAUCUUGAGUGGGCGAGAAGUAUGCGGAAUGCGUGGUGUAGCGGUGAAAUGCAUAGAUAUCACGCAGAACUCCGAUUGCGAAGGCAGCAUACCGGCGCCUGACUGACGCUGAAGCACGAAAGCGUGGGUAUCGAACAGG
rnacentral:rRNA from 1 species